GACGCCGUGGCUGAGCGGCAAAGGCACGCGGCUGCAAACCGAGCUAUCACCGGUUCGAGUCCGGUCGGUGUCU
rnacentral:tRNA from 1 species